UACGAAGGGGGCUAGCGUUGUUCGGAAUUACUGGGCGUAAAGCGCGCGUAGGCGGUGAUCUUUGUCAGAGGUGAAAGCCCGGGGCUCAACCCCGGAACUGCCUUUAAAACUGCAUCGCUUGAAUCCAGGAGAGGUGAGUGGAAUUCCGAGUGUAGAGGUGAAAUUCGUAGAUAUUCGGAAGAACACCAGUGGCGAAGGCGGCUCACUGGACUGGUAUUGACGCUGAGGUGCGAAAGCGUGGGGAGCAAACAGG
rnacentral:rRNA from 1 species